UACGAAGGGGGCUAGCGUUGCUCGGAAUCACUGGGCGUAAAGGGUGCGUAGGCGGGUCUUUAAGUCAGGGGUGAAAUCCUGGAGCUCAACUCCAGAACUGCCUUUGAUACUGAAGAUCUUGAGUUCGGGAGAGGUGAGUGGAACUGCGAGUGUAGAGGUGAAUUCGUAGAUAUUCGCAAGAACACCAGUGGCGAAGGCGGCUCACUGGCCCGAUACUGACGCUGAGGCACGAAAGCGUGGGGAGCAAACAGG
rnacentral:rRNA from 1 species